rnacentral:rRNA from 1 species
CAAAGAACUUUGAAGAGAGAGUUCAAGAGGGCGUGAAACCGUUUGGAAGGAAACAGAUAGAGCUGACAAUGGUUAGUGAGAUUCAGUUUACUGGUCAAGACAUUGCCUGAUCAUGGACAAUACUGCCAUGUAGUGCUUUGUUUUGUACUGUUGAAUGCAUUUCUCAUUGACGCGCACAGAAGUUGACUUUGCCACAGAAAGAGCACUGUGUUGCCGGCCCCACAUGGGGUGUCCCAUACAGUGUAAUGUCUGUUGGCAUGGUUAAAACAGAAGGCAUCCGCUCUGCUCAGCAGUAAACUUCCUUUGACAAAUGAAUCUGGCUAGCUUGCUUGCACGCUAACCUAAACCUUGGCUGAGGUUGUUUUACAGCUUGAGUGAUGCUGACUUCUGUGUAAAAGUUAGCCACCUAUCUGACCCGUCUUGAAACACGGACCAAGGAGUCUAGCAUGUGUGCAAGUCACUGGGUAGUGCACUCAGAGGCGCAAUGAAAGUGAAGACUGGCUUGACUGGUUUAUACAGGAUCUUUCCUUCAGGGAAGCGCACUGUAGCCCCGUCUCGUCCGCUUGUCGGUGGGGCGGAGGAAGAGCAUACACGCUGGGACCCGAAAGAUGGUGAACUAUGCCUGAGCAGGACGAAGUCAGAGGAAACUCUGAUGGAGGUCCGAAACGGUUCUGACGUGCAAAUCGAUCGUCAGACUUGGGUAUAGGGGCGAAAGACUAAUCGAACCAUC